ACAUUGGAGAGUUUGAUCCUGGCUCAGGACGAACGCGGCGGCGUGCCUAAUACAUGCAAGCGAGCGGACCUUGUGUUUCUUUCGGGAGACGCCAGGUUAACGGCGGACGGGUGAGUAACACGUAGGCAACCUGCCUGUAAGACCGGAUAACUUGCGGAAACGUGAGCUGUCACGGAUAGCUGGUUUCUUCGCAUGAAAGAAGUCAUGAAAGACAGGGGCAACCUGUCACUUACAGAUGGGCCUGCGGCGCAUUUGGCUAGUUGAGUAGGGUAACGAGCUUUGCAAGGCGACGAUGCGUAGCCGACCUGAGAGGGUGAACACUGACCACACUGGGACUGAGACCUGGCCGUUUCUACAGGAGGGCGGUAGGGGAAUCUUCCGCAGCCGGACGAAGAAAGUCUGACGGAGCAACGCGUGGUGAUGAAGAGGUUUUCGGAUCGUAAAGCUCUGUUGCCAAGGAAGAACGGCCAGGGGAGUAACUGCCCCUGGAGUGACGGUACUUGAGAAGAAAGCCCGGCUAACUACGUGCCAGCAGCCGCGGUAAUACGUAAGGGGGCAAGCGUUGUCGAUUAUUGGGCGUAAAGCGCGCGCAGGCGGUCUUUUUAAGUCUGGUGUUUAAGCGGGGCUCAACCCGGUUCGCACUGGAAACUGGGAGACUUGAGUGUAGGAAGAGGAAAGUGGAAUUCCACGUGUAGCGGUGAGAAACGCACGUAGAGAUGUGGAGGAACACCAGUGGCGAAGGCGACUUUCUGGCCUAUAACUGACGCUGAGGCGCGAAAAGCGUGGGAGCAAACAGGAUUAGAUACCCUGGUAGUCCACGCCGUAAACGAUGAAUGCUAGGUGUUAGGGGUUUCGAUACCCUUGGUGCCGAAGUUAACACAGUAAGCAUUCCCGCCUGGGAAGUACGGUCGCAAGACUGAAACUCAAAGGAUUGACAGGGACCCGCACAAGCAGUGGAGUGGUUUAAUGGCGGGGAAACAGCGCGAAGAACCUUACCAGGCCUUGACAUCCCUCUGACCGGUUUUAGAGACAGACCUUUUCCUUCGGGGACAGAGGAGACGGAGUGAGUGCAUGGUUGUCGUCAGCUCGUGUCGUGAGAUGUUGGGGUUAAGUCCCGCAGCGAGGCUGGCAUGAUCUUCGUUGCCAGCGCGCAGGAGUGGGCACUCUAAGAUGACUGCCGGUGACAAACCGGAGGAAGGUGGGGAUGACGUCAAAUCAUCGUAAUGCCCCUUAUGGCCUGGGCUACACGUACUACAAUGGUCGGUACAACGGGAAGCGAAGGAGCGAUCCGGAGCCAAUCCUCAAAAGCCGAUCUCAGUUCGGAUUGCAGGCUGCAACUCGCCUGCGCCGGGGGUCGGAAUUGCUAGUAAUCGCGGAUCAGCAUGCCGCGGUGAAUACGUUCCCGGGUCUUGGCACACCGCCCGUCACACCACGAGUUUACAACACCCGAAGUCGGUGAGGUAACCGCAAGGGCCAGCCGCCGGAUGGGGUGGGGUGAAGUCGUAACAAGGUAGCCGUAUCGGAAGGUGCGGCUGGAUCACCCUCCUU
rnacentral:rRNA from 1 species